rnacentral:rRNA from 1 species
GAUCAUGGCUCAGGACGAACGCUGGCGGCGCGCCUAACACAUGCAAGUCGAACGAGAGAUGAGGAGCUUGCUCUUCAAAUCGAGUGGCGAACGGGUGAGUAACGCGUGAGGACCUGCCUCAAAGGAGGGGACAACAGUUGGAAACGACUGCUAAUACCGCAUAAGCCCACGGCUCGGCAUCGAGCAGAGGGAAAAGGAGUGAUCCGCUUUGAGAUGGCCUCGCGUCCG